UGAGUCUGGAACAUAAUACAUGAACUGAACUGCGUCUCUAAUGCAUGACAUGGACAGAGAAUCAUAUCGUGGUUACACUGAGCCAUUGAGUACAUGGCUUACUGCUGAGUUUUAAAGCUAGAGGGUUGUCUCAUAAGUAACACUUCCUCCAAGAUAGAUUCAUUAAAGAAAACAAAAUGUCUAAAUCAAGGAUGUUUGGGGGCUAUAGUGUAUCUCCCCCUUGGGACACUAUGUCCCUUGAAGGAU
rnacentral:lncRNA from 1 species